rnacentral:rRNA from 1 species
UACGUAGGGUGCGAGCGUUAAUCGGAAUUACUGGGCGUAAAGUGUGCGCAGGCGGCCGCGCAAGUCAAGUGUGAAAGCCCCGAGCUUAACUUGGGAAUUGCGCUCGAAACUACGUGGCUGGAGUGUGGCAGAGGAAGGUGGAAUUCCAGGUGUAGCGGUGAAAUGCGUAGAGAUCUGGAGGAACACCGAUGGCGAAGGCAGCCUUCUGGGCCAACACUGACGCUCAUGCACGAAAGCGUGGGGAGCAAACAGG